CUCAUUAAAUCAGUUAUAGUUUAUUUGAUGGUCUCUUUUGUCUUUUUUUACCUACUUGGAUAACCGUGGUAAUUCUAGAGCUAAUACAUGCGCAAGGUCCCGAGCGCGGGGGGGCAGGGCUUCACGGCCCUGUCCUCGCAUGCGCAGAGGGAUGUAUUUAUUAGGUUAAAAACCAGCGUAGUCAGCAAUGGCUACAAACUCCCCUGGUGAUUCAUAGUAACUCUUUCGGAUCGCAUUCAUG
rnacentral:rRNA from 1 species